rnacentral:lncRNA from 10 species
CAAAGUGCUAGGAUUACAGGCAUGAGCCACCACACCCAGCCCAAAUAAAAUAUUCUAAACCAUCAUAAAAUAAACAUUCAAUGUUCUGUAUUUUCUGGGUAUAUUUCUACACAUAAAUACAUCAAGUGUAAAUAAGACAUUCAUUCCUAGAUACACAUACACACAUAUAGAUACACACACACACCAUGUAUACACCAAAUGUAUAUAUGUAAUAUAUAUGUGCAAGAUAGAUAGAUACACACACACCAACAUCUUAAAUCAUUAUGACCUGCUGAAGAAAUUACUUUCCUCUAGUAUUUCCUCCUUUCUUCCAUAUGGCCCUCCUGGUUGGAAGAGGGUUAGUAUGAAAGACUCAAGAGAAAUGAAAACUCUCUGUACCUCCCAAUGGUUAUAUUUUAAAUACCAAUUUCAUUGGAAUGUGAAUAUACUAAACACACGAUUUACUUUUUCCAGUUUUCCCUUUGCAUAGUGACAACUGUAUAAUAAAUCACUGAAAGCUUCCCUCUCAAUCUUUGUUUCUGACUCAGUUUCACUGAAUGCUUAUGCUCACCAUGCUUAAUGGGUACCAAUUCUACACUUGGCCCACAGAUUCUGUACAAUGCACCAUGAGACAUAUUUUGUCUUACAUCGGUCUCAAUCUCACAGAUGAGACCACCAUAUAACAUAUGUUAAAAAAAAAAAACCAAACUCAAGAGUGGAUGAGCAGGUUGAAUACACAGUCCUCAAGGGAGUGAUCAAGGAACAGAGUCUGCAUCCUGCCCACCACAUGGGUCUCCCCAGAGCCAAGAAUUAUUUGACUUGAGACAGAAAAGUUAAGGACCAACUAAGGCCAUGCCCCAAAGAGCAGAGGCUUAAAUACCAGGCAGAAUGAACUAAACCCCAGCUAUAUCACAACACUAGCUAUGUGACCCUGAGUAAGUCAUCUAACCUCUCUAACUUUCCUCAUGUAAAACAGGGGUGAUAAUAAUAGCAUUUGAUCACAGUUCAUCAGAGAAAUGCAAAUCAAAACCACAGUGAGCUAUGACUUCACAUCUGUUGGCAAGGCUAUUAGGAGAGAGAUAACAGGUGUUGGUGAAGAUGCGAAGAAAA